rnacentral:SRP_RNA from 1 species
GCCAGGCGUGGUGGCUCAUGCCUGUAAUCCCAGCAUUUUGGGAGGCCGAGGCGGGUGGAUCACCUGAGGUCAGGAGUUUGAGACCAGCCUGACCAACAUGGAGAAACCCCGUCUCUA